GGCAAGAAUUAGAAGCAGUUUGGU
rnacentral:miRNA from 1 species